GGGCAGCAGGGACGAGGGCUCUGCAGGGGCGGGUCUGCGCCUCACACACCCCCUUCCUGAGCCCUCCCCACUGAAAACUG